rnacentral:rRNA from 1 species
UACGAAGGGGGCUAGCGUUGUUCGGAAUUACUGGGCGUAAAGCGCACGUAGGCGGAUUGUUAAGUUAGGGGUGAAAUCCCAGGGCUCAACCCUGGAACUGCCUUUAAUACUGGCAAUCUCGAGUCCGAGAGAGGUGAGUGGAAUUCCGAGUGUAGAGGUGAAAUUCGUAGAUAUUCGGCGGAACACCAGUGGCGAAGGCGACUCACUGGCCCGAUACUGACGCUGAGGCGCGAAAGCGUGGGGAGCAAACAGG